CUGGCUUGCUUUGGUUUAAUUACUGCAGGCCAGUAUCUGUGAUGGUGUCAUCCGUUGUUCUGACAGACUUCUCUAUUGCUCUAGUCUUGUGCCAGGUCAGCGGAAAGCUGAAUCUGCGUUCUCAGGCUCGGCUAUCGACUCGUUCUGCCCGGGCCGUCCUGCGCCCCGAUUGGUCCGCACUGCGACCCGAUUGGUCCGCCUACGCAUCAUGUGCUCAGCAGCCCGAUGAUGGCGGGCGCUGGGGAAGAUUUGGGAGCCCUCUUCAGGGCUGGCGUCCGCGCGGCGCUAGAGGCCUGGCCGGCCUUGCAGGUGAGGUGGAGAAGGGCUUCC